UUUUUUUUUUUUUAAACUUUUGAAAAAACUCUUUUAAAUAUGAUUUUAUGCACAACUUUUACAAACUAUCAAAAUCACCCAACUACAAUUUAUCUACUAACGGAAAAAGAACACAAUUAGCCACUUUUAUAAAAAUUAGGUUAGGGUACGUGCGUUGCACGUGAAUUUUAACUUAUCAUCAUCAAGAGUAGGCAAAAUAAAACUCUAAAUCGGGUUAUUUAGAAAUCCUAACUAAUUUAAAGUGAAGUUUACACAAAAAAUAUGUGUAAUUUAAAUGAAAUAACAUUAUUAGAUAUGGAUUGAAAGCAAAAUGAUAAAAACAAAAGAAAGGGAGGAAAGGGAGGAAAGUGAGGAAGAAAGAGAUGUAGAAAUUGCGGGACUAAGGUCGUUUUAUUCAAAAUCCCAAUUGUGACAUCCCUUCUCUCUCACUUCAGACCUCGGAACACACUUACAUAUGUUUUAAGCUAGCGAAUAAAACUGGUGAAAUUAUUGUACUUGAGAAACCUAGGCAACAACAUGUUGGAGGAUUUAUGAGAAUUUCUAACAAUAAAGGUGUUUUUUGCUCUGCUCUAAGAAACCACUGUAAUGAAGAUAUCAAUAUUAGUACCCCAUACUAACAAAGUAUUACGAAAAAGAAAUACGACAUCAAAGAAAACAUAUUAAUUAGUAAGAAAAGUAGUAGAUAAUAUUCAAAAAAAUAAUGCACUAAAUAAUGUGUUAACUGAAACACAAUACACAACAAUUAGUAAUAGAUAGCAAACACAAGAAAAUACAUCUAUAAGGCUAAAACUAUGACAAACACAAUGCUCCUAGACUCCCACCAAAUCUAAACCUAUAGAACAAGAAGUCAAAGUAUAACUACCUACUAACCUUCUACUCUUAUCUGUGAUCUCCAUAUCCUCAUAUCUAAUGCUCCUAAAUUAAAAAAGAAUCACAAAUUUCUUUUAAAAAUAUAAUAUGUGCAUGCAACACACUAAAACUAAAUUGUACAUAAAAACUACGGCAUUACAAAAACAUGAUUCAUAAAUUAAAACAAAUUCAAUAUUCUUUAUUUUCUUAAUCCGUGACGUCUAUACCCUCGUAUCUAAUGCACUUAUAUAAAAAAUAAUCACAAAUUUCUUCAUACAAAUAUACUAAAUUGCACAUAAAAGAUAUAAUAUUACAAAAACAUGAUUCAUAAAUCAAAAAAAAAAAUUAAGCUUCUAUUCUAACCUAUGAUAUCCAUAAUAGAGAAAACCCCGUUGAGAAUCCAUUAGCAAACUAAACAUUAUUGUAGAGUUAUUGGAGUUCUAACACUAAAAAUUGUGAAAAAUAGAAAAACUAUCACGGGUCAUAAACCUUUUAUGAUUUUAUUUAUAUUAGUUUUUAAGAAAUAAGUAGUUACUAUUCAAAUUUUGAUGAAAACACUAAUAUUUUUCUUUUUCUUUUUCUCUUACACCCAUGUAAAUUCCUAUCAAAGCAAUAGCACAUAAGAAUAACAGUGUCUAUAAUUAUACUUUGGAUAUACAUAAUUAAGGUCCUAAAAGAAAUAAAUAAUGAAGGUAUAUACUUUUUUUUACGUAGAAUAAUGAAGUUAACAUACUUUAUCUACAUCAUCUCCUGACUAAAGCAUGUUUUCAAAAUUCUUAUAUUGUUCGAGCGUUGUCAAUUUGUAGCUUUUGCCCGAUUAUGUUCAAUCUUUUUCUUGGGAUAUAUUGUAUAUCUUUGCCUUUCCUUUCCUUGCUUGUGCAAUAGAUGUAUAGUCCCUUCUUUACCUACCAAAUAUUACCAAAAAUAAAAUCGGAAUACACCCUUGAAUAUUUGACUCAACUCACCAAAGUAACUCGUACACAUUCAUGUAUUCACUUGAUGUGUAAUUCAAAAAUUUAAGAUAAUUUAAAAUAUAGGAAAAAAAAUAAAAAAGCUCAUCUCAAUACCUUGGUACCUUGGCAUAUGAGUCAUUAGAAAAUUAAGAUUUGUUCGUGUAUUUUUAUUUAUUAUAGAUACUAUCAAGAAACAACACAUGAAAGAAAAUCAACUCACCUUAUAGCCUAUCCUAAGCAUGGGUUCUUUAUAUAUGUGCUUUUCUAUUUUAAGUAGGAUAUCAUUUAUUUUUCUGAUUAAUAUUUUAACCUUAUUUUAUAGAAAGUGUUUUUAACUCUAUUUUAUAAGAUUUGGCAUGAGUUUUUUCCUUUUUUUUUUUCUUCUGGAAAUGUUGUUUUAAAUUAUAGAAUAAAAAUUAGACCUCUUAUCAUAAAUUGAGGACUUUUUAAUUUAUAAAAUAAAAAUUAAACCUCGUACAAUAAAUAAAUUAACCUUUUAUCUUAUAAAAUAUAGGUCGUUAUUUUCAUACCCUCCUAUCUAAUACACAUAAAAGCUACGAUGUUAUAAAAAGCAUGAUUCAUAAAUUAAAAAUAAUUUAACUUUUUACCCUAAUUUAUGAUCUCCAUACCCUCCUAUCUCCUACACCUAUAUAAAAAGAAUCACAAAUUUCUUAAAACAAAUAUACUAUGGACAUGCGACAAUAUUAGAAUUAAAUUACGCAUAAAAACUAAGAUACCUUUUACCUUAAUCCACGACCUCCAAAAAUAAAGUUAAAGGAAGUGAACUACAUUAUUAUUCACGUAUAAAGUUUAUAUCUUUUUUCAUGCCAAUAAUUUUCUAGAUAUCAAGCGUUAUAAAAUAAACAUAAGUAUUCAACUGUCUGACGAAACUGAAAAAAUUAUUGUGCCUACAAUAUUUUGGACAAAAUAUCUUUAAAAAAUUCAGGCACAUUUUAAGCGACGGAACUAUAACUAUUGUUACUCCACCAUUUCAUGGAGUUUGUCAAAUGUUAAUACAUCAUCUACCAUGUCAGACGAGAAAAUUGAAGGAAAGAUGUCUUUUAAGUCUUGAAUGAAGGAUUGAUGAUAUUGACCAACUUAAAGGGUCAAACAUCAUUUGUAAACUUGAUUAAGUUAAUUGUGGAGUUGAUUAAUGUUUUUAAAACUUUUUAAUCUUUUCAAAAAUACAAAUCAACCUAACCACAUCCCUCUUCAAUUCAAAUCAACCAGUCUCUCUCCUCUCUCUCUCUCGACAACUUCUUUGAACUCUCUCCCAACUAACAAUUCUGCAAAAUUCUCCCUUCAAUCUCCGACGAAAAAUAGUCGGACGAGUUCUCUUUCAACUUUCAACCAUCAAUCGACGUGAAGAAUUCUCUGGCGAUAACAACUUCAAGUUCUUCUUCGUCCCAUUUCUUUUUUCACAGGUAAAAAUUUAUGAAGAAACAGAGAAACUUGAGCCAACUACUCUUCUAGUAUUGAAAUGUGGACUGAAUAAAAUCCUAAUUUUUGGCAUUUCUUCUUCUUGUUGUUGUACUGUUGAUUCGGAUUUGUUGGUGAUUUUUAUUCACAGUUGAUAGUCUUAGUGUGUGUGUGAUGUGUUGGUGUUGCUGGGUUGAUUUAUUGUUUGUCUUGGAUAAAAUGGUGUUGAAACAGAUAAAGACAUCUGAUGAAAUAGAUAAAGACAUCUGAUGCAACAGAUGAAGACAUCUGAUGCAGCAGAUAUUAAUAUCUGAUGCAACAGAUUAAAAUCUGUUGCAACUAUGAAAAUCGAUGCAACAGAUGAACAAUCUAACAGAUCAUUCAUCUGUUGCGACAGGCGACUCUUCUAUUUGGAAGAAAUCUAAACAAUAUUAUUCCAACAGAUAACUCAUUUUCCAACAAAUGAGUGAUAUGUUUCAAUAGUUCAGUGAUCUGUUUUUAUUCUCUCCAAAGGUUUACUCAUCCAUUACAAUAGGCCAGUUAUUUAUUGCAACAGAUAAAAUACCUGGUCGAACAGCUCAGCGAUUUGUUUUUAUUGUUUCCAAUGGAUUACUCAUCCGUUACAGCAGGUCAUUUCUAUGUUGUAACAAAUAACAAACCUGGUGCAACAGAUUAGUGAUCUAUUUUUAUGUUCCUGUUUGAAAGAAAUCUAAAUAAUAUUGAUCCAACAGAUAACUUAUUUUCUAAUAGAUGAGUGGUAUGUUUCAAUAGUUCAAUGAUCUGUUUUUAUUCUCUUCAAAGGUUUACUCAUCGUUGCAACAUGUCAGUUAUAUGUUGCAACAGAUAAAAUACCUGGUGCAACAGAUCAGUGAUUUUUUUUAUUAUUUCCAACGGAUUUCUCAUCUGUCGCAACACGUUAUUUAUAUGUUGCAACAGAUAACAAACCUGGUGCAACAGAUUAGUGAUAUGUUUUUAUGGUUUCCAACGGAUUACUCAUUCAUUGUAACAGGUUGGUUAUACAUUGCAUCAGAUAAAAUACCUGGUACAACAGAUCAGUGAUCUGUUUUAUGGUUUCCAACAGUUUACUUAUAUGUUGCAACAGUUGGUUAUAUGUUGCAUCAGAUAACAUACCUGGUGCAAUAGAUUAGUGAUCUGUUUUUAUUGUCUCUAAUUAUUUGCUCAUCUAUUGCAUCCGAGUCGGACGGAUUAGAGAUCUACUCUAAUGGUUUACUCAUCUAUUGCAACAGGUCGGUUAUAUAUUGCAACAGAUAACAUAUCUGGUGCAACAGAUGUGUUGUCUGUUGAACUAUUUUUUUUACCAUUGUGCAUGUUUGAUUUACUGUUAUCCUUUUUAAUGAUACAUUAAUCAAUUAUAAUCUAUUUUAUAUUCCUAUUAAUUUAAGAUAAUAUGGCUCCAAAAAGAAGAGAAACCGAAUUAAGUCCUAGUAAAGGAACAAGUGCAGCAGCUCGGCUAUAUCCACCACUCUAUGAGCUUGCUUUAUAAGCGUUAUCUUAAUCAAGAGCAGAAGAUAAUGAACACGGGGAAGAGGAAUGUCUCAAAAGAUAUAAUUCAAAUGCUAAUAGCCCUUUCACCGAAGAGUUGGUCAAAACCUUCAACAUUGAUUGUUAUCCUGUGAGAAUGGACUGCGAUGGUGUCACAGAUUUAACGGGUGAUUUCGUGGUUAAGUCAGCCAUGGGAAAAUAUUUCGACGCCUUCAGAAAAAUACUCCGAGAAUAAAAAUUGGAUGCUUAUUCCAGGAAAAGCUGCUUUGGGCAAUAUCUUGAUGCUCGUUUCCAAAUAAAAAUGGUAUACGAUCUUCUCAAGCUUAGGUUUAUGUAUGAAAACAAAGACAAGAUGGAUAAGGUGCGGAUAAAUUACUAUGGCAUGCCUAUUUGUUUUGGUUUGAAGGAGUUUGCCAUAGUUAUCGGAUUAAAAUGUUAUCCUCCUUCUCCUUCUCAAGUUAUACCUACUCUGACCCAAAAGAAAGCACCCCGCACACCCAAAAAAAGCAAAGGCAAGUCGAGUGAUCGUCAGGACCUGGUGUCUACUGUUAGUCCAAGCUUCAAAAACAAAAAUUUGACAGAAGCAUUGAAAGGUAAAGGACUCUCAAAGAAGCACAAGAAAUCAUUAUGCUUGGUUUGGUUUGUACAUAAUAUUCUUUGGGUGAGAGACGUUAACAACAAUAUAAGCCCCAAUUUAAUAAAUCUCUUCGAGGAUCUUGAGGUAUUUAACAGCUAUCCUUGGGGUUAUGAAAGCUUCAAAAUGACUGUCCAAUAUUUGUUGACUCCGUUGACGCCAACGACAGUCAACUUAUAUGGCUUUCCAUGGGCCUUCAUGAUAAAUAUUUCUUUUAUCAUGAUAUGAUUCAUCAUUUUUUUAUUCAAUAAUGCUUUGGAUUUAUUGGCGUUAUGUUAUAGGCUUGGGCAUUUGAAGCCAUUCCUUAUUUGAGACAACAAGUGAACUACCAGGAAGAAGUUUUCUGUCCAAGAAUCCUGAUAUGGUUGUUGGCCAAAACCGAUAACAAUGCACAAUUUCUUGUAUCUUUUCAAUCCCCCAAGGAAGCAGUGAGUCCAAUUCUAAUCAAGUUUUUAUUUUAAUUAAUGAUUAUUUUAAAUAAUUUCAUCAUCAUUCUAAUAUAUGUAUCGAUUUAUUUUAGAUUAUCCAUUCAUGGCUUAUUUCAACCAAUCGAGAGUUGAAGAUGCCAUUUUUCUUACUUUAUGAUCUGUGCAAACUUUACCGGACCCUAAGGUUGUUGAUGGAAUAAAAAUAGAAUUAUUUGGAGCAACAACCAUCACCAGAAAAAUAAUUUGGAGGGUGGGCUUGUUGCUGUUGACGAUGGUAGUCGUAGUGGUAGUGGUAGUGGUGCCAUUGUUGGGUCUAAUGAUGCUUCUCUUAUCAUUUUUGAAACAACAAGCCAUUAUGAUUAUGGUCAUACUGGUUGUACAAAUUUUGCCACAUCUAGUGAAUGUUCUGCAUGCAAAUGUCAAGACUACAAGGUAAAACACGAUGGAGUGAUUAAUACUAUUAAUGCACUAAUUGCUUCUGUAAAGAAAAUGACAUCUAAGAGGGGUGUUAUUCUAUCAAAGAGGAUUUCAUAUCCAUACACUCCACUAGAGAUCAAGAUUGCUAAGAGGAGAAGGAAAGAUACUUUCAAGGCAUCAUCAAGCAUCAAAAAAAGAAAAAUUGCAAUGCCUAUGUCUUUGUCUUGCACUGAUGUUCAGUGUGCAAAGGCCACAAGAGAGCAACAUGAGCCGAAGAAGGUUAAUGUAUAUCACUUGUUCCAAAAAACAAACAUGCACAUAUCUAUUUUAAACAGAUGAUACAUCUACUAAAAAUUAUCAAACAAAUAUAUACAUUUGUUGCAACUGUUGUCUAACCUUUUGCAUCAGAUGUGUUAUCUGUUGCAACAGAUGAGUCUUAUGUUGCAACAGAUGGAUCAUCUGUUUGAAAUUAUCAUACUGCUCUGAUUUACCUAUUCGAAUUUAUCCCAACAGAUGAUCCAUCUGUUGCAACAUAAGAGUCAUCUGUUGCUAUAGAUGGACAAUUUGUUGUAUAUCUGUUAUUAGCAUUGACAAUUCUGACUUUUGAGGUGGAUGUCAUGAUAGAAGCCACUGCUGAAGAGCAUAAUAUCAUAGUUUAUAAUCCAUCAACUGCUUCUAAAAAAGAAGAAAAAGUGGAGCCUGUCAGUUUGGGAGAACAAAAGAAUUAUACGUUUGAAGGGUUCAACAUCUCGAAUGAGGCUCUAAAAAAACUAAUGCAGUUGAUCAACGACUAUUCAAAAUGGAUUGCCGAUGGGCUGUUAAAGCAUCAUGCCGGUAGGUACAUAAAUAAAUUUUAAAAGAUAUUGGUUUAUACGAUUCUUAUUGUAAGAACGUGACAUUAACACAUAUAAAUCAUCAUGUAGAAAACAAAAUGACGAACGCUAUAAAGUGAACAAAUCGAGUUUUGGUUUUGAUAUUUUUGACUUUGUUAUUGCACAUCCCAAAAUGAAGAAUUGGUUAUAUUUGAUGUCACAGCCUCAAACUUGCUGGAAUGUUGAGGUUUAAAUGCCAUACAUAUUACUAUUAAUUAAUACUUUUUUUAAUUGCAUCUGCAUAUUAAUUUUUUCGUCACAUAAUUCAAAAUGUUUGAUAAUAUGCGCAGCACAUCGAUGUCAUUAUUUACUACCUUCGAAAGAAGGCCAAGUUGCAAACACAGGAAUAAUACAGAUACGCAACAAACAAUUAUUUGUACAAAGUUUACAUCAAUAAUGCCUACGAUAGGUAUUGUCAACAACAGCCGAAAGUUUCCCAAAAUGAGGAAUACUUAAUCAACAUCAUCAAAGGUUUUAGCAUUUCAGCUGGCUUACCUUGGCAUUUGGUCGAUGAAGUGUACAUCCCAAUCAAUUAUGGUAAUGAAUUCCAUGGGGUUUUGGCUGUCGUCAUUCUAAAAGAGAGGCGCAUCCGAGUUUAUGACUCAAUGUCAUGAAAGAGAUAUUUCGGGCCUUCGUCUAAGAUACAAAAGCUAACCAAAAUAUUGCCUACUUACCUUGAUAUGAGUGGCUUUUUGGACCAAAAGGUUCGUACUGAUUGGUUGACGAUUGAAGCAUACCAGGAUAAAAUGGGUAAUCUAUUUGAUGUACAAUAUGUUGAAGGAAUUACUCAACAAACCAUUGGUAUCCUGUAAGUAUAAGUGUCAUAAUUUAUUUUCAUUUCAUGAAUUUCACAAUGUUUGCAUGAAUUACAAGAUAUGGAUUAUCUAUUUUUUUAAAAUGCAGGAAUUGCGGUCCUUUUGUUGUCGCUUAUGCCGAGUAUUUGAGAGAUGGAUUACAAGUACCAAAUGAUGGACUUGAUGCUGGAUUACUCCACAAAAGAUAUGCUGCUCUUUUAUGAAAAUACAUAGAAGCAAAAGCUCAAAAGUUAUACGCAAGCGACACUAAAGAUCUACGACGACCAAAGCCAAAUUUCGUAAUACCGAGUGAAGAACAACUUGUCCAUAUUGAUUAGAUCUUUAUAGCUUGAGUCUGUCAAUGUGAUAACUUAUUCUCCUUUGUCUAACUUGUUGAUUUAUUUGUAGACUAGAUCAUUUGUGCCCAUAAUGAUUUUUUUAUAUUUCAUUUAUUUCAUGUAAUUUUUGAAGGUUUCAAUUUAUUUUAUGUUGUCUAUGAAUACAAUUUAAUCCUUAUUUUUGAACAUGAUAAUUGAAAUGGAAUACUAUAUUCAAAUAUCGCAACAGAUAAUACAUCUGCUACAACAGACGACAUAUCUUAUCAAACAGAUUUAGACAUAUGUUGCAACAUGAGAUGCAACACAUAGAUCAUCUGCUGAAAAUUAUAUAACAGGUCUUCCUACUUUUUUUAUUUGCUCCAACAGAUUAUUGAUCAGUUUCAACAGAUAGAUUAUAGAUUAUAUGUUGCAACCGAUUGUAUAUCUGUUGCGACAGACAGACUGGAAAUAUCUGUAUAAUGCAACAGAUGACCAACCUAUUCCAACUGAUUAUCAAUCUAUCAUAACAGGUACUGUAUCUGACACAACAGAUAUCCUAUCUGUUAUAACAGAUAUAUAAUCUGUUGCAUUUUAAAAAUUCAACUUUUGCCAGACAGAAAUUAUUGCCACUACAUGUAAAGUGAGGUGGCUUAAAAUAAAAAAUUAUUAUCGUGUUCGUCUCCAUCUUUGCACAUAUUCUUCUUUAUACACGGGCUCCAACCAUUUAGUUAGGUCAUCUGCUGAAAAUUAUAUAACAGGUCUUCCUACUUUAUUUAUUUAUUUAUUGCAAUAGAUUAUCUAUCAGUUGCAACAGAUAGAUUAUAUAUUACAACAGAUUGGAUAUUUGUUGCGACAGACAGACCGGGAAACAUCUAUUAAUGCAGUUGACAACCAACCUACUACAACAGAUAAUCAAUCUGUCAUAACAGGUAUUAUACAUGUUACAACAGAUAUACUAUCUGUUGCAUUAUAGAAAUCUAACUAUCUAUAGAUAUAAAAAUUAUUGCCACAAUAUGUAAAGUGAGGUGGCUUGACAUAAAAAAUUAUUAUCAUGUUUGUCUCCGUCUUUAUACAUUUUCUUCUUUAUACACGAGCUCCAACCAUUUAGUUAGUACCCUAUAAGCCCAGAUAGAGUCUUUUCCACCGUUGUCGCACAUACCGGUCAUUUCUAUACUGGUCAGCAAAUACUCGAUGUAUGCAAGUGAGUACGGAUCGCAUGCUGCACCUGUUCUAUUACUCUGGAGCUCGAUGUUCUUAUUUCAAUCAUCGAAAUCCCAUGAUUCCUUCGUCAAGAAUUCAGCCGGCAAAUGAUCCAUCAACUUACUCUACGUCAACAACUUGGGUAGCAACUUCAAGAGUGGUUGCAUGUAGGCUAAAAACUUAUCCUUACUGAAAAUAGUUAAGUUACAGUCAUAAACCUUAAUAUUUCCCUCGUAGAGUAGUAUGUCAACAAUGAGAAAAUUUUUGACUUUCAUGUUCAUGACAUCAAGGAUUCUCUUUGUCUUGGUCCAGCUCUUGCCGUAUGAAUAUGGCCUCUUCCCUCUAACAUAUUUAAUCAUUUUUUCAUCCCAUUGGAAUGUAGAAACUAACUGAUCAAGUCCCAGGCUAUAGAAAUUAGCUUGCUUAUGGAGAUCAGCGUACCUAUUCUUGAAAUUAUUGUAGAAGUUGAGGUCUAUUAUUCUAUCGGCAGCAUCAUAAGAAUCCGGGCACGCUAAUUGCCUGCCCUUCAUGAGGCAGAGAAUUUCAUCAACAUACUAUGGUAUAAGAAGCCAAUUAAUUUAAAUAGGUUAGUAAUUGUAAGGAAUAAAAACACAGUGGAAGAAUCUGAUGCAGAGGGUUCUUUGAAUCAAUUCACAGAUUACCCAGCCAACGCAACUCAUGCAAUAGAUGUGUAUUAUAAUGCAAUAGAAUACCAAGAUGUUGCAACAGAUUAGACAUCUAUUGCGUAGAUUCUUCUUCGUGGAGUAGAUUGGAAGGCUAGGUUAGCAAAAGUAAACUUACAUUGUCCUCGUACCACACACACAUAUUUGUCAUACUUUUGAAGUCUUUGGCGGCAAAUGAAUGCAUGGUGUAUUCUUUUUGAACCUUCCUCCUGCCAUUCAUGAUUUGUUGCAGUUCCUCCUCUUUCUCCUUGCCAAGCGCUGCGAAUAUGUCCACCUUCUUCAGCGGCCCCUGAACUUCAACAAAUCUUGGAGUGGGAGGAGUUACAAUUUUUACUGUUUUCAUAAUAGAGAGAAUUUGUUUAAUUUUUCUUCUCUUCCUCCUAACUGCCACUGUAGGAGUGCAUGGCUCCCUUACCUCAUUGGAUGGUAUGACACCCCUUUUGGAUUUCAACUUCUUGACAACUUAAGUAAUAGCUUUUAGUUUUUCAAGGAGUUUAUCAUCUCUAUCCUUGCAUACUUUGCAUUUGCAAUGAGAAUAGGGUAAGGAGGGGUGAGAGGUACCACUAUAAGGGUGGGAGGGACCGGUGUAGGGGUGAGAUGGACCUGUGCAAGGGGUGUUUUCAAAAGUAUUUAUUUUUUGUUGAGCAUGCUUAUAAUCCGACUAGAAGCAGUAGGAUGGCUACCACCAUCACAAACAACUACACCAACAACAUCCUGGAAGAAGCACCCGAAUCUAUUGCAGUUUGAGGUUGGUCCUGAAGAGCUUCAACAUUAGGUAGACCUUGCCUAAAUGCUUUUCUUAUGGAUGUUGCUCCAGCCAAUUCCUUCUUUAUUAAAUCCAUCGUUGGGUCUUCUUUUAUAUUGACAAGACCCAGAGUAAGAAAAUAAGUCAUCCCCAGCUCAUCAUCGGUAGGCACGAUCCAAGGAUGCAAACCUAUAAAAAAAGAUAGGAGGCAUUUAAAUCAUAUAACAAUAAUUUGCAGUCAGUUGGGUUACAUGGAUAUUAACACAACCAACUUAUGCAAUAGAUGAUCUAGCUGCCACAAUAGCUGAUCUAUAUAUCGCAACAGAUUGAUAAUAUGUUGCAUCAGAUUAUGCGUCUGUUGCAUAAUUUACAUCAGAUGGGUAAUCCAUUGAGUCGGGUUCAAAGAACCAGAGCAACAGAUAGUUAAUCUGUUGUGAAAUAUGGAUCGCCUGUCGCAACAAUUUACCCAUCUAUUGCACCAGAUGCAGUUGUCAGCUAAUCUAUUGCAAUAGACGAACCACUGUCGCAACAGAUGGAACAUCUAUUUUAAUAUCUUUCUUUGAGGCAAAUUAUUUUAGUUGAAAGAAGACGUACUGCAUCAUUUGGAGGGUUAAAUAGAUCAAUGUCCUGCUCCUUAAUAUUUUUUUCCUCUCUUUGCAACCGCCAACCACCUAAGGAUCCUAGGAUGAGAAACUUUAUCCGGGUAAUCCUUGAACUACUUUCGAAGGGAAGGAAUGGGUUCACAUGCCCAAGCCUGAAAAAUGUAAACAUGAAGCAAGCCAAAAAAAGUCCUAAUAAGUAUAUAGUCAUUAUAAAUUAAUGGAUUUGUAAAAAUAGUGAUCAAUUUUACCAUGAAAACCCAGGAAAAGCCUUAUAAUGUGAUCGUCUCUGUGGAUAACUUUGUCAGUAAAUAUUCGACAGUCAAGUAGUAACUGUCAUAUCCCAAAGGAUAGUUGUUGAAUUUGUCAAAAUCAUCAGCAAGCGCCAACAAAUCAUCUUCUAUGACUUUCUUGACGUCUCUUGCCAAUAAAAUAGAAUGGACAAACCAAUCUAAGCACAAUUUCUCCCUGCAGUGCUUUGGUAUGUCUUUAUCCUCGAGGUCUGCCAUCAAAUCCACCGCUUUGUUGCUACUACGUCCAACAAUGUCCAAUAGUCUAUCUUUUUUUUCCUUGCAUUAGUUGGACCCUUUGUGGGGUGUUUCCUUGAUGAGAGGUUCUUCUGGACGAUCACAUCUCAAGCCUUUCACUAUGGCAAACUUUUCAACCCAAAACAAACCGGCAUACCAUAGUAGUUGAUCCAGAUUUCAUUCAUAUUUUAUUCAACCUCCUUCGGAUCUUUAUCAUCCCCUACGUACUUGAUACUGUGCUUAAGAAAACCAUAUACCUGCUCAUUGGGAAAUGAAGAGUGCGGUCCUUAGGCAGCUCGAGAAAGUAUGCAAAGCAACUCUUGUUAAAAAGUUUGUCUAUGUUUUCAUUCUUCAUAAUUCUCCUUAAUUCAUUAAAAUGUUUACCCAAUUGACAUUUAACUACAAGAUCACCAGUUACUUUGUCAGGGCUAUCCAUCGGCAUCGCAACUCAAAACCUGUCGAUACUAAUGGUUUUGACAAAAUCAUGCUAGGAUUUUGAUAUUAUUUUAUGCUCAAUUAGAGAGAUGGAGUUAUCACUUUUUUUGACUUCUGUAGUGUCCUAAAUCUGGUACCCAGAAUGCUACAUGGUGCUCAUGACCCUGAAGGACCACAAGCUAACCCGUGACUGAUAUCUGUACCUAAAUACUAUAUAACAUCAUGUAAAAUGCGAAAAUAAUCGACUGAAACAUGCCAUAAGUUUCAAAAUGGAUAAAACAUAAUAUUUGAGAGUACGGUAUAUCAAUACCAAAACAUGAACUAAAAUAAACUGUCUGAACAUACUGUAGUCUGAAAAGCCUCUAACUGACUGAACUGUCUGAAAAAGGAGUUGAUCGGACAUGUACCCAACUAACUCCAUCUUCUGAAAGCUAAACUGAAAUAAUGAAAUAAAUAAUAAUAUCAUCCUCGAAUGAUAAGGACUCACUACUAAAUUUGGCUGAUAAAAUUUAAAGUGCUACUGAUGCUUUGGAACUCAUGCUUCUGGACCUAUGGUAUAAAACACCAUAGCUCAAAUGCGUCAGUACAAUUGAAUAUUCUGGUAUGCAUGUGAGGUAGGCUGAAUGCAGAGGGUUCAAAUGCAUGAACAAUGCUAACUAACUAUAUAACAUGAAUGUGAGAAUACAUGCAUGAACAAAUGAUUGUAACUGAAUUCGUGAUGAUACUGAAUACUGAGUCUGAAUACUAAUAACAUGAGUUACUAAUAACUGAUACUGAGCUACUGUAUCUAACAGUCUAGGUUCUAAUAGAACUAGCUGAGUUUUGUACUAUUUAAAGUUGACUGUAUCUGACAGUCCUAAAUUCUGUAGAACUAUCUGAGUUCUGUUAUUGAGACUGAGACUGAAAUUGUAACUGUGGGAAGUAGUCAUCUAACCGACAUGCCCCAAAUAAAUUAAUAUAGCUGAGUUGGGGUCCAAUCUAUAAGCCCAAUUAAAAGGGUGUCAAUACCGCGCCACCGGUAAGGACAAGCUGUGAGUGACCCUUAACUGGAAGGUACUCAAAUAAGAACGGAGGGAACCCUCAACUGGCAGGUAAGCCACCUCAUCAACCCUCAACAGAAAGGUUAGAUGUCUCAACCUAUGCUGGCUAUGUAGUUCUAAAAUGCAAGAAUUGCUUCUAAGAACACACCCUCUACUGGCAGGUGAGUUCCCAUCCUUGGGUUCACUCGGUGCUAAAUCCUACUCCCAUCUAAAUAGACACUGAACUUGAUUAACUGAGCUGAACUGGACUGAGUUAACCGAGUUUCAUUGACUGAUGGAAUACUACUGAGAUUACUGAAUUACUGAGCUUUCCUGAGUCACAUGACUGACUAAGUUCUAUUGACCAUGGCUUGACUGAGAGUAUCGUGAAAACGUGACACUAGCUCUAGGCACACAGCUAAUUUGUUGGGUACAAGUAUCCCCAGGACUCAAUAGAAGGAAACUGACAAGGCAUGAUGUUCUUGAAUACAUGACCAACAUCAACAAUCCACAAUAUAAUAAGUUGGGGAUUUCAUAAAGCACAUGGUUAUCAUAAAUCUGUACAUGGUUGGAAUGCAUAUAAUAAGUAUCAUAAUUUCAUACUCUAACAUCAUGAGCAUUCCAACAAAUAUCUACAUUGCACAUCAAUAGCAUGGGAGUCAUUUAAACAUAAGGGUAAGACAUGCAUUUAUCAUAUGGGUUACAAUUGAUCUAUAAUACACAAUUUCUAUCCUCUUAGGCAUUUUAUCAAACACCUUACAUUCACAACUUAGGGCAUAGAUGUAAUCAUCAAAUUACACAUUAUGAACAACUUCAUUCAUGGAUUUCAACUUGCAUGCAAACGUAGUUUCAUGAAAAACAUAUAAAGAUUCCAACUUAGGAAUCGUACGACAAGAUAAACAUGAUUACAAAACAACCCGCAAUAUAAACAUCAUGAUUUAUAAUUUGAAAUAGGGUUCUUGAGCUUUAUGUAUGAAAGAAAUCCAUAAAUCAAUACUAUGCAUACCUUGGAUGGAAGAUUCUUGAAAACAAAUGGUGAAAUUCUUGAAAUUGGAAACCCUAAGCUUGUUCUUGAUGGGUUUGAGAGAGAAACCACUAUAAUUUAAGUGAAAUAGGGAUGAGUUACGUGUUUGUGACUUAUACAGGGGUGGGAAAUUGAACCUUUUUCCCUUGAGGAUGCGGUUAUUUAAUGAAUAAAAUUGGGUGCCGACGCUACAAGCAACGUAGUGCAUUGGUGGCUGCGAUGCGAUACUCGACGCAUCAUGCCAUGAUCAUGUCAAGCCUCAGAGGUUUUGGCUCUAGCAGCCUGUACAAAUGUUGACCAACGCGAUUGGCGAUGCAGCAUGCUAAGAUCAUAUUGGUCCACUAUUUUGGGACUCCAAACAUGAUCUAAAUGUGUUCCAAAAAAUCCAGAACUUAUCUGGGAGUACCUAUUGACCUUCCUGAUCGUGAAUUAAUGAAAAUAUGGGCCAUUAAAUGACAUUAAGAUGGCAAUAUGAUAUUGCCAACUUUCGAAGGCUAAAAUAGGCUAAGUCUGGGAACUUGGUUAGAAUUUUCUAAGUCUAGGACCCCUUGACAAGCUUAAAGGACUGAAUUAUGAUUAGAAGUUUUGCGGGGUCUUACAAUAUCUCCCUUUUGAGAACAUUCACCCUCUAAUGAGACUGACUGAGAGGGGAGAAGAGAUAAACUGACAUAUAUUUUGAACAUGAGCAACUGAAACAUGAUUCCAUGACUGACAUGAGUGAUAACUAAAUACACCAUACUGAGCAUGUGUAACUGAUUCAUGAAUGCAUGACUGAAUGUUCUGAUAAACUGAGUUUCUGACAAAGAGAAUGCUUAUUUGAUGCAUGAUUAUAUGACUGAACCAAUACAUAUAUGCACGACUGAAUAUGCAAUGGUAUUUAAUACCAAGUUUAUGAUGGAAUAGUUAACAUGAAUUGGAUACCAAGUUGUAACUGAAAUUUGAAUAUUAAACUUAAAAGCUUAAGGAGAACUAUUACCUUGAGCUAGAUCUGAGUUAGCAGAGACGAGGUGAGGGUACUUGGUUUGCAUGUAUGAUUCUGCUUCCCAAGUAGCUUCCUUAACGGAUUGAUUCUACCAAAGAACUUUGACUAGAGGGACUUCUUUGUUCCUCAGUCUACGAGUCUGAUAGUCAAGAAUUUCAACUGAAAUCUCUUCAUAAGAGAGGCCGUUUUGAAUAUCUAUGCUCUAAAUAGGGACUACAACUGCUGGGUCACCUAUGCACUUCUUGAGCAAAGAUACAUGAAAUACUGGAUGAACUGAGGCUAGAUCUGAAGGCAAUUCAAGCUCAUAAGCUACCUUGCCGAAGCGACUGAGAAUUUUGAAGGGUUCGACAUAUCAGGGACUGAGCUUUCCCUUCUUGCCAAACUGCUUCACUUCCUUCAUGGGAGAGAUAUUUAGAUAAACAUAAUCACCAAUCUUGAAUUCGAGAUCCUUUCUGUGCACAUCUGCAUAAGACUUCUAUCGGCUCUAGGCAACCCGGAGUCUUUCUAUGAUCAACUGGACUUUUUCUAAGGCAUCAAGUACUAAGUCAGGCCCUAGGACUGCGACCUCACUAACUUCGAACUAAUUAAUUGGAGAUCUAUAUUUUCUACCAUAGAGAGCCUCUAAUGGAGCCAUCCGAAUACUGAAAUGGUAGCUGUUGUUGUAUGCAAACUCAAUCAAAGGUAAGUGGUCAUCCCAACUACCCUUGAAGUCAAUUGCACACGGCCUUAGCAUAUCUUUAAAGUCUGAAUGGUCCUUUUUACUUGACCAUCUGUCUGAGGAUGGAAGGCUGUACUGAGAUAAACUUGGGUACCGAAACCCUUUUAGAACGCUUUCCAUAAAUAAAAGAUGAAAUGGGUACCUCUAUAUGAGAUAAUAGAUAACGAAACAUAGAAAUCUGACCAACUUUUUGAUGUAGAGUUUGGCAUAAUCCUCAACCGAAUAAGAGGUAUGGGAUGGAAGAAAAUGAGUUGAUUUGGUCAUCCUAUAUAUAAUGAUCCAAACUGAAUUAUGUUGAUGAUGAGUAUGAGGCAAACCCAUCAUGAAGUCCAUGUUCACUUCUUCCCACUUCCAAGUAGGAAUAUUGAACUCCUGCAUGUACCCACUAGGAUUCUGAUUCUUUAUCUUAACUUGCUGAUAUGUAGAGCACUUAGCCAUAAACUCUAUAACUUUUCUCUUUAAUCCACUCCACCAAUAGACCUCCCACAAGUUUUGAUACAUCUUUGUGGCCCCUAGAUGAAUAGAGUAACAUAUACCAUGCACUUCUGUGAGAAUUCGCUGCCUUAAGUCAUUUACACCUGGCACAUAGAGAUGACCCUGACAACGCAAAACACUAUCUCCCCCUUGAGAGAAAACCUCUACUUUCUGAUCCUUGACUAACUCUUUCAACUUGACAAGACUGGGAUUUCUAUCCUAAUUUUCUUUCACCUUAGAAACUAGAGAUGAUUCUGAACUACUCUGAACCCAUAUAUUACCCUCUGCUGAAUCAACUAUGCGGACACCUAGUCGAGCAAGCUGAUGAACUUCCUAAGCUAACUUCUUCUUACUUCUCUCAACAUGAGUAACACUACCCAUAGACAGUCUACAAAGAGCUUUGGCCACUACAUUAGCCUUGCCUUGAUGAUAAAGGAUGCUCAUGUCAUAAUCUUUUAAGAAAUCGAACCAUCUUCCCUAUCAAAUAAGAUUGAGAUAUUUCUGAGAAAGGACAUACUGAAGGCUCUUAUAACGUGUGAACACAUUUACAUGCACCCCAUACAAGUAAUGCCUCCAAAUCUUUAAGGUAAAACUACGGCUGCUAACUCAAGAUCAUAAGUUGGAUAAUUCUUCUCAUGGGGUUUAAACUGUCUGAAGGCAUAGUAUAUGACCUUACCAUGAUGCAUGAGGAGACAACCUAAACCUACUCUAAAUGCAUCACAAUACACUAUGAACCUAUCCGAACCAUUUGGAAGAGCCAAAAUUAGAGCUGAGGUGAGUCGAGUCUUCAACUUCUGAAAACUCUUCUCGCAAGGAUCUGACCACUAAAACUUAGCUUUUUUUUGAGUCAAUCUGGACAAAGGGGAUUCAAUAGAAGAGAAUCCCUCAACAAACCAUCUGUAAUAGCCAGCCAAACCCAAGAAACUCUUGAUAUCUGAUGGAGAGACAGGUCUGGGUCAGUUUCUUACUGUUUUGGUCUUUUGAGGAUCAACCCUAAUGCCAUCACCUGAAAUGAUAUAAUCAAGAAAUGCUACUGACCCUAUCCAAAAUUCACACUUACUAAAUUUGGCAAACAACUGAUGAUCUCUGAGAGUCUAAAUCACGAUUCUGAGAUGGUCUGUAUGAUCAUGCUUACUACAAGAAUAGACAAGGAUAUCAUCUAUGAAAACUAUGAUGAACAUGUCCACGUACUGCUUAAACACAGGGUUCAUCAAUUCCAUGAAAUCUAUUGGGGCAGUGGUAAGACCAAAGGACAUGACUAGAAAUUCAAAGUUACCAUACCGAGUAUGAAAAGCUGUUUUCAAAACGUCACAUUCUCUGACUCUGAGCUGAUGAUAGCCUUAUCUGAGGUCUAACUUAGAGAAAUAGCUGGCACCCUAAAUUUGGUCAAACAAGUCUUCGAUUAUGAAAAGUGGAUACUUGUUCUUAACCAUGACUUUAUUAAGUUGACGGUAAUCAAUGCACAUUCUGAGAGAACCAUCUUUUUUUUGCACGAAUAAGACUGGUGCGCCCUACGGAGACACACUGGGUCUCAUAAAUCCCUUAUCUAUAAGAUCCUUCAACUAUUCUUUCAAUUCUCUGAUUUCUGCUGGUGCCAUUCUGUAUGGCAGAAUAGGUAUAGGCUGAGUAUCUGGAAUAAGAUCAAUGCCAAAGUCUAUUUUCCUUUUGGGAGAAAUUCUUGGAAAAUCUUUGGGAAAGACAUCUGAAUAUUCAUUCACGAUUGGGAUUGAUUCAAGGUUGGGAGUUUUGGAACUAGAGUCCUUAACAUGAACAAGGUGAUAGACACAUCCCUUAGAUAUCAUUUUUCUGCCCGAAGGUAGGAAACAAGCUAGCCUCUGAAAGCUGAAGUAUUACCCCCUACUCCAGUAUGGGUUCAUUCGAAAACUAAAACUGGACAAUUUUGUUUCCGCAGUCGACUUUGGAAUAGCAGGAAUAAAGCCAAUCCCUGCUGAGAAUGACAUCAAAAUCAGUCAUCUUUAAUUCGACUAAAUCUGCUGAGAUGACUUUCUAAAAUAUUAUAAUCGAAUAAUUCCUGUAUACCCAUCGGGCUAUGAUGGUUUUACUCACUGGGGUAGAGACUGAGAAGGGAUCUACUAGAAUCUUGGGACUGACUCUAAAAUCAACUGUUAUAUAAGGAGUAACAAAAGACAAGGAAGCUCCUGGAUCUAACAAAGCGUAAACAAGCAAGUAAAAAAUCUGUAACGUACCAAUAACCAUAUUAGAGGAAUUUUCCUGAUCUUUUCGGGAUUGGAGAGCAUAAAGUAUGUUUGGGCGUUGUCUACUAUUAGCACUGGAAGUGACACCCUGUUGAUUUGGGCCACCAGACUGAGCUGAGGAAUGGUUCUGCUGACUUUGGGAACCUAUCUGAGGACAAUAUCUGACUCUGUGGCCUGGCUUACCACAUCCCAAAUAAAUAUCCCUGCCAGCUCUACAAAUACUCUGAUGGUGUUUGCCACAAGUUUGACAAAGAGGAUUAGUUUGGAGAUUGCUAAUGAUGCCCUAAGACUUAAAUCCUGGCGCCCUAUCUCUAUUACCAUUCCUGAACUUAGGAUCUAGAGAACUGGCUGAAGAACAAGCUGGAACUGAUAAACUUAGGACGAAACUAAGAAUGGUUUCCUCCCUCUGACUUAGGAUGAGCAAAGUUGAAACUACCUGUCUCUGCUAUCUUAUUCUGCUUCUCCCUCAUCUUAAUCUUUUGCUCUUCUAUCUACUGAGCAUGAGUCAUAAGCCUGGCUAUAUUCAUGUCAAUAUUCAACAUCGCAGAUCUGCACUCAUUGACCACACUAUCAUUCACCCCAGAAACAAGCUUACUCAUCUUGGCCCUGCUAUCUGCAACCACAUGAGGAGCAUAUCUGGCUAAUUGUGUAAACUUAAGAGAAUACUCUUUCACCAGCAUGUUGCCCUGCCUGAGGUUGAUAAAUUCUAACACCUUAGUUUUUAUCAUAUCUAAGGAAAAGAAUCUUUCUAAGAAUGCGGUGAAAAACUCCUCCCAUUCUAUAGAUCCUGCAUCAACUGACCUCUCUGACUUCCACUGCUUAAACCAAUUGUGAGAAACAUCCUGCAACUGAUAUACAGCUAGCUCAGGACUCUCAAUAGCUGACACCCCCAUGAUGUCUGUAACCUUUUGAACAUGAUCAAGGAAUUCCUGAGGAUCUUUUUCUGACUUAGACCCAAAAAAGAAUGGAGGAUUCAUUCGGGUGAAGUCUUAAAUCCUGGCUACAGCUGAAUUGGCCACUAGUUUGGCCGGAAUAAUAGUUGGUCAUUCAUUCUAAGCAGCAACUGACUGAGCAAGAGUAGUGAAUGCAGCUUUAAACUCUGCAUGAGAGACAUGCUCGCCCAAAGGAUUUUCAGGCUGAGGAGCUGACGAAUUCCUAGUUCUCUUCUUGGGAGACAUGUUCUGUACACAAAAGAGAAAGAGAUUAAACUGAGAGAUUAACUUGAAAUUAUGCUCAGUGGCAUUACAUGAAUACUAAAAAAUGGGAAACUGUUCCUAAACAUCUUAUAGCCUCCGGCACAUAAGUGUGGCGCGCAACACACCCAUGUACAAGACUCUACUAGAUGCGUCUUUCAGACUUCCUAGGACACUAUUGAACCUUAGGCUCUAAUACCAGUUUGUAAUGCCCCAAAUCUAGUACCUGGAAUGCUACACAGUGCUCAUGACCCCGAAGGACCACAAGCUAACCCAUGACUGAUAUCUGUAUCUGAAUACUGUAUAACAUCAUGUAAAAUGCGAAAAUAAUAGACUGAAACAUGUCAUAAAGUUCAAAAUAGAUAAAACAUAAUAUCUGAGAGUACGACAUAUUAAUACCAAAACAUGAACUGAAAUAAACUGUCUAAACAUACUGUAGUCUGAUAAACCUCUAACUGACUAAACUUUCCGAAUAAGGAGUUGAUGGGACAUAUCCCCAACUAACUCCAUCUACUAAAAGCUAAAAAUAAAUAAUGAAAUAAAUAAUAAUAUCAUCCUCAAAUGAUGAGGACUCACUGCUAAAUCUGGCUGCUGAAAUUUGGAGUGCUACUAAUACUUUGGAACUCGUGCUUCUGGACCUAUGGUAUAAAAAACCAUUGCAUAAUGCAUUAGUACGAUUGAAUAUAUUGGUAUAUAUGUGAGGUAGGCUGAAUACAGAGGGUUCAAAUGCAUGAACAAUGCUAACUGACUAUAUAGCAUGAACGUAAGAAUACAUGCAUGAAUAAAUGACUGUAACUGACUUUGUGAUGAUACUGACUACUGAGUAUGAAUACUGAUAACAUGAGUUACUAAUAAUUGAUACUGAGAAACUGUAUCUAACAAUCUAAGUUCUGAUGGAACUAGCUGAGUUUCAUACUGUUCUGAGUUAAUUGUAUCUAACAGUCCUGAAUUCUAUAAAACUAUCUGAGUUCUGUUACUGAGACUGAAACUAAAACUGUAACUAUGGGAAGUAGUUAUCUAACCGGUAUGCCCUAAAUAAAGUAAUAUAGCUGAGCUGGGGUCCAAUCUGUAACCCCAAUUAGAAGGGUGUCAAUACUACACCACCGGUAAGGACAAGCUGUGAGUGACCCUCAACUGGAAGGUACUCAAAUAAGAAUGGAGGGAACCCUCAACUGGAAGGUAAGCCACCUCAUCAAACCUCAACUGGCAGGGUAGAUGUCUCAACCUACGUUGGCUAUGUAGUUAUGGAGUGCAAGGAUUGCUUCUAAGAAUCUCACCCUCUACUGGCGUGUGAGUUCCCAUCCUUGGGUUCACUCGGUACUAAAUCCUACUCCCAUCUGAAUAGACACUGAGCAUGAUUAACUGAGCUGAACUGGACUGAGUUAACUGAGUUCCAUUGACUAAUGGAAUACUACUGAGAUUACUGAAUUACUGAGCUUUCCUGAGUCACAUGACUGACUGAGUUCUAUUGACCAUGGCUUGACUGAGAGUAUCGUGAAAACAUGACACUGGCUCUAGGCACCCAACUAAGUUGUCGGGUACAAGUAUCCCCAGGACUCGAUAGAAGGAAACUGACAAGGAAGGACAUUCUUGAAUACAUGACCAACAUCAACAAUCCACAAUAUAAUAAGUUGGGGAUUUCAUGAAGCACAUGGUUAUCAUAAACUUGUACAUGGUAGGAAUGCAUAUAAUAAGUAUCAUAAUUUCAUACUUUAACAUCAUGAGCAUUCCAACAAAUAUCUACAUUACACAUCAAUAGCAUGGGAUUCAUUUGAACAUAAGGGUAAGACAUGCAUUUAUCAUAUGGGUUACAAUUGAGCUAUAAUACACAAUUUCUAUCCUCUUAGGCAUUUUAUCAAACACCUUACAUAUACAACUUAGGGAAUAGGUGUGAUCAUCAAAUUACACAUUAUGAAAAACUCCAUUCAUGGAUUUCAACUUGCAUGCUAACGUAGUUUCAUGAAAAACACGUAAAGAUUCCAACUUGGGAAUCGUACAACAAGAUAAACAUAGUUACAAAAUAACCCACAACAUAAACAUCAUGAUUUAUAAUUUGAAAUAGGGUUCUUGAGCUUUAUGGAUGAAAGGAAUCCAUAAAUCAACACUAUGCAUACCUUGGAUGAAAGAUUCUUGAAAACAAAUAGUGAAAUUCUUGAAAUUGGAUCCUCAAUUGGAAACCCUAAGCUUGUUCUUGAUGGAUUUGAGAGAUAAACCACCAUAAUUUGGGUGAAAUUGGGAUGAAUUACGUGUUUGUGACUUAUAUAGGGGUGGAAAAUUGACCCUUUUGCCCUUGAAGAUGCAGUUAUUUAAUGACUAAAACUGGGUGCCGAUGCUACAAGCGACACAACGCGUUGAUGGUUGCGACGCGAUACUCGAUAUAUCAUGCCAUGAUCACGUCAAGCCUUAGAAGUUUUGGCUCUGGAAGCCUAUAAAAAUGUUGACCAACACUAUUGGCGACGCGGCGUGCCAAGAUCGCGUUGAUCCACUAUUUUGGGACUCUAAACAUGAUCUAACUGUGUUCCAAAAAAUCCAAAACUUAUUUGGAAACACCUACUGACCUUUCUAAUCAUGAAUUACUGAAAAUACGGGCCAUUAAAGGACAUUAAGAUUGGGAGAUGAGAUUGCCAACUUUUGAAGGCCAAAAUAGGCUAAUUUGGGAACUUGGUUAGAAUUUUCUAAGUCUGGAACCCUUUGACAAACUAAAAGGACUGAAUUAAGCUUAGAAGUUUUGCGGGGUCUUACAGCUUCAUUUUGCCCUGAUUGAGAUUGUUCAGGAAGUUUCUCCGAAUCUAUCUGUACUCCAACCUUUUUUGUUGGGUGGUCAGAAGUUGAUCCACUUUCAGUUUCUUUUCUUUUGGGAGACUUCUUUUAACUGCAAACAAUAGAAAAAUAAAAAAUACAUUGUAUUUAAUGUUUGCAUAAUUUUUUUUAAGCAAAAAAACUAAGAUAAAUUUCAGAAAAUUAUUCUACGCCACAUUACAAAAAAAAAAUACUCCAACGGAUAAACCAUCAAUUGGAACAGAUGAGAAUCUGUUUGAAGACCUAUUUAAUAUCUCCCAACAGAUAUUUCACCUAUUAUAACAGAUAGACCACCAACACCACAACUAAUUCCACCACCAAUGCCACCAAGACCACCACCAAUACUACCAAUACCAACACCAAGACCACCGACACCACCAACAAAACCACAAGUACCAACACCAACAACAACAUCCACCAACACCACCACAAACACCAUUCAAUAAUACCACAACAGUCAACAAAACACUGAGAUAAAAACUAGGGCUUUCUCGGGUGCUUUCUAUUUUUUAGCCUCAAAACAUAAAAUUGUUAACCCAUUUUCGCAGAUAAUACAACUAAAAGUCUUUUUUUCAUUAUUAACUAAAAAUUCCUAAUUUUUAGAUUAAAGAAUAAAUGAAGAACUCUUCUCAAACUUUGUUACCUGCAAAAACGGAGAAAACAACGGAUACAAGCAAAAAUAAAGUCAAAAAUAACAACUAUGUGGUCGAAAAUGGAAAGAAAAUUGAUUUGUUUUGAAGGGUUGAGCAAUAUGUUGAGUAGUUGUUGUCUGUAUUAAUGAGAGAGAGGGGGGGGGGUGAAGUGAGAACUUAAGAUUUGAAUUGAGGAAAAGUUUUUUUCCACAAAUGGAUGAUUUGUAUGGGUUGAUUUGUAAUUUUGAAAAAGAAUGACAAGUUUUGAAAUUGUUAAUUUGAUUUUCACCCUUUUGUGGGCUUUCAUCGAGUAAAGCAGGCUUGACAAGAUGUGAAUCACAUGCUUAUAAAAAGAAAAUGGAAUCAUUUUCAGGGAAGACGAUUCAACUACCAAAUUGAUCUUAAUUAUUUUUUAAAAUUUUAAAAGAUAUAUUCCCUCUGUUUCAUUUUAGUUGACCCUUAUUGACUUGGAACACCCCUUAAGAAAUUAUUUAAUAGAGGCUUAUUUUACUAAAAUUACCCUAAUAAUUAUGCAUUGAAAAUAUGAAUUUGAGUAAAUACACUUUGUUUAAUCAUUUAAUGUUGAGGGUAAUAUUGGAAGAACAUAAUAAAAUCCUCUUGAUUUCAUCAAAGGGACAACUAAAUUGAAACAAAUAUUUUUAAAAAGAGGGCCAACUAAAAUAAAAAGUAGGGAGUACUAGUUUUAAAAAUAUUAAGUUAAUGAGAGCGAUUUUCAACUCAGUUUGAUCGAUCGACGACCUGGAUCGGGAUGAACGCAAUACCAACGCCAAUUACAAAGACUCAGUUGAAGUUGUAGUUGACCCUAUGAUCUCAUUCAUUUAUCCCUAGUUCCACCUAAAUCAAUGUAGGUAUUAUUAAUCUGAACAUUAAGUUAAUGAGAUCGAUUGAUGACCCGGGUCGAGAUGAACUUAAUACCAACGCCAAUUGUAAAGACUCAGUUGAAGUUGUAGUUGACCAUAUGAUCUCAUUCAUUCAUCCCUAGUUCCACCUAAAUCAAUGUAGGUUAUAUUAAUCCCAAUAUUAAGUUAAUGAGAUCGAUCGACGACCCGGAUCGGGAUGAACGCAAUACCAACGCCAAUUGCAAAGACUCAGUUGAAGUUGUAGUUGACCCUAUGAGCUCAUUCAUUCAUCCCUACUUCCACCUAAAUCAAUGUAGGUAAUAUUAAUCCCAACAUUAAGUUAAUGACAUCGAUCGACGACCCGGGUCGAGAUGAACGCAAUACCAAUGCCAAUUGCAAAGACUAAGUUGAAGUUGUAGUUGACCCUAUGAGCUCAUUCAUUAAUACUAGUUCCACCUAAAUCAAUGUAGGUAAUGUUAAUCCCAACAUUAAGUAAAUGAGAUCGAUCGACGUCCUGGGUCGAGAUGAACGCAAUACCAAUUCCAAUUGAAAAGAAUAAGUUGAAGUUGUAGUUGUCCCUAUGAGCUCAUUCAUUAAUCCCUAGUUCCACCUAAAUCAAUGUAGGUAAUUUUAAUCCCAACAUUAAGUUAAUGCGAGCUCAUUUCAACUCAGAGUGAUCGAUCGAUGACCCAAGUCGGGAUGAACAUAAUUUUUAAUAGAUAUUCACGUCUAUUGCAACAGAUGACAUAUCUGAUUUAAUUAUCAAAUAAACAUUUGAAUCUGUUGUGAUAGAUGACUGAGCUGUUGGAAAUUUUCAAACAAAUAUUGGUAUCUAUUGUAACAGAUGAUAUAUUUGUUUGAAAAUCUUUUUUUCUUUCAAUUUUACAGUAAGCUUCUAUCCAAGUAAGAGUUACUAGUAAGAGUAAGUACUACAAAAUGCGGCAAAAAAUGAAGAAUUUCUUUUUCUUGGAUAACCUAAAAAUAUGUUCAUUGAGUAGUUUUAUCUUGUUUUUUCAAUUUCACUAGUCAUCUGUUAGAACAGAUAUCAACAGAUAUUUAAUUAUCAAAUGGAUAUCUGUCGUCACAGAUGACUGAGCUAUUGGGAUAUUUAAACAGAUAUUGAUAUCUAUUAUAACAGUUGUCAUAUUUAAUUAUCAAAUAGAAAGGAUUUUUUAAACAGAUAUUUGUAUCUGUUGUAACAGAUGACUGUGUUGUUAGGAUUUUUAAAUAGAUAUUGCUAUCUGUUGUAACAGAUGACAUAUCUGUUUGAAAAUAUUUUUUUUCUUUCAAUUUUAAAGCAAGCUUCUGUCUAAGUAGAUAAAGUAGUAAGUACUACUUACAAAAUGCCGUAAAAAAUAAAGAGUUUCUUUUUCUUGGAUAACUCAAAAAUAUGUUCAUUGAGUAGUCUUAUCUUGUCUUUUCAAUGUAACUAAACUAAGUCUUCCUCGUGCCCUCAAAUUAUUAAUGAAUAUUAAUUAUAUUAAUUAAUGAAUAUUGAAACCCACAUCUACGUACACGAUACAUCUAGAAUUAUCUCAUCUCCUCAGCUUCACUCCUAAAUUUAUUUUAUUCAUCUCCCAUCUUUUUCUUUCUCUCCUCUUUAGCUUAGGAUUUCACAACCUUUUUUCUCUCUUCUCUUUCUCAUAAAGAUCCUUUCGGAUCUUAACCAAUCCAUAUCUUUCCUCGACUGAAAUUAUUGUUUUGAUCCCCUUAUGACGAUAAGGUAUGGUUCAUUAUUGCUCUUUCAUUCUCGUCUUCUUCUUUACAAGUUAUUACAUCUGUUUUUUAUUUAAUUACCAUUUACCCAUAUGAUAUUUAUUUAAAAAAUUUAAAGGAACUUUUAAGUGUUGAAUAAACAAAUCUAGAAUUUUUAUUAGAAUAUCCGAAAAAAAAUGUUUUAUUGGGAGAAGUUUAAAAGCCUUGUUGGUAGUAUCAUUUUUUGGUAUGUAUUUUGUUUAUUUCUUUGUUGUUUAUGCUGUUAUAGAUGUUGUUGGUGGGGUUGGCAUUUUUAGAAGUUAUGGUGUGUUGUUUUUUAUGGUGUUGGAACAAAGAAUGUUGCUUCUUUGUUGUUGCUAAUGUUGAAACAAAUGUUCUUAUUUCUUUGUUGUUGAUAUUUUUUUAUUUGUGUUUCUUUGUAGCUUAUGUUGUUGAUGUUGCAAUAGAUGGAGCAACUAUUGGAACAAAUCAAACCACCAGCAAGGCUGGUUUGAUGUAUUCCAACAAACUCUAAAUUUGUUGCAACAGAAUCCACAUCUGUUGCAACAGACUCCACAUCUGAUGCAACAGAUUCUAUAUCUGUUGAAUAAAUGAAUAAUAUUUUUUCUGAUAAAUAAUGUUGUAGAUAUAAGGAACUAACAGUUGAUCAACUUUUGCCCGUCUAUCACAAGAGGCUGCAAUAAAGAUGGGUUCAGAGGAAUAAGCUGCAUGCAGAUGGAACCAAUUCAUAUGUGGGAGGUAUGUAUUACUGAUAAUGCUAUCGUGGAAACACACAUAGAGUAUACUGAUUUUGUGAAUACUAUUUUUACCAAUUUGUCAUAGAUCAUUCAAACAAGAUAUCUGCAAUUUUACAGUUAAGUUUGGUAGGUUCGAACUGAUAAGAUCGAUGGACCAUGAAUAUGGUUCUGAUACCCUGUUAAGAUUUAUUUUCGCUUGUUGCUUAUAUUUCUUUGUCAAGCAUUGUAAAGGGAUCUAGUUUUGGUGUCGUUGUAAAGAGAUUCAAUAGCGAUUGGACUAACUUUUAGGGUGCAUUGGACUCUAAGAAGGCCUUCAAAGCCUAGCACAACAUCUAAAAAGAAUGAAAAACCAAUAAAGUUAUUACCCUAGCCUAAAUUUAUAUGGUUGGGUUGCUCGGGGUGAUGAUUAUACACUAUUAGGUGCGGUACGAGAAUGCCUUUGAGGAAAAAUAGGUGGUUGAUAAAAGAUUAUAUCAUCUGAGAGCUAAUUGAAGAGGAGACGUAGGAUAGAAGGUAACUUCUAGCGAAUCUGGCCGAUGAAAUUAUCUUAAAACGACAUGAGAAAUCUGAAUCAAGUGCAAAUAUGAAAGUGUAAUCGACAAUGUAAAUUCAUCUAUUGUCUCUCUGAAAGAAAAAUAGUACAGAUUGACACUUUUCUAAGGAGCUGCAACUAGGUAGCGUGGUCGGGAUUAUCACCUAGAUAGAAAAUAGUAGAAGUCCAAGAAAGCAGCCUUACGGGCAUCGAGGGUUGAAAUGAUGUACAGUAAGUCUAGAAAACUUCCACCAACAACAACUGCAGUUAAAGUAAGGAAUCUAAGAGAAGGAGCCAAUUUUUAAAUUUUAAAUUUCAUCCUAUGCCUUCUUGUUUGUGGUUUCGAUUAGGUCCAUUGUUGUUAACCUGAUCGGAACCACAAACGUGAUUGAAAGGCAAAUGGAGUAUCAUUACUUCCAUAUCAAUAUGGUUAUAAUUGAUUGUGUUUUAUAGCCUUAGCAUGCUUUCAACAUUUCUUUGAGAAGAUCAGAGGCUUGCUGUAGUACGUGAAUCCCGAUAAUUUUCAAGUUUUCCUCCAUCUUGCUUAUUCUGUAUUCAAGCUGGUCGUUGCCGUCUUCAAAGUUGGUCAAGAAGUCCUGGUAUCUUGUGAGAUUUAUCAGGAACACCACCUUUAAAGUUGUGGCAUUUUAGAUGGACUUCAGAACAUUCUCUUCAGCAGCCUUAAAGGAUACAUAGAGGGUCGCUGUGUUUAUUUUAGGUCAAAAUAUGUUGAUGCACACUCAAGAUGCGGUCCCAACCGUUGAACAUCACACUUUUAUCGAGCGUUGCUCAAUGCAUCUUGCUCAACCAAUUUGAUAAAUUAAUAAGCAAGGAGUUACGUAGCUUCUGAUCUAAACUGACUCUACCAAGCCUAUAAAAUGUUACGUAACUCCAGGCCCAUAACCCUAUAAAAAAAUUGGCUCGAGAUAGUGCAUAAAUCAAACAAGUUCAAUCCCUCAGGAUUUAUGCUGAUCGCUUUUCUCCAAUUAUAGAUGAUAAGAUAUCUGCUAUGCAAAAUUCUACACCAUCGCCAGAAAUGCUUGCCAGGGCUCAAGAUGAAUUGACAAACCAAAAAAAGAUGAAUUAAAUGCUAGAUUUAGUUCUUCUUUGUUUAGUUUGUUAAAUAAAUAACAUGUGAAUGCAAAUGAAAAUAUUUCUGCCUUUUCUUUUGUACAAGGAGUGAAUCUGGUGAGGUUGUUGAUGCCAUAAUUAUGUGUAGUCAUUGCUGAAAACUUUCUUAUUUUCGAUUGUCUUCUAAAGACUUUCGUACAAGACUUCCUUGAUGUUAAGAGAUUACUAAUAAUGCCUUUCCAAGACUUUCGCUCUAGCAAGAAUUUUCGCUGACGGUGUAGACUUUCGCAUGGCAAAUAUCUUAUCAUCAACAGAAAUUCUUGUCGUAGCGAACGUCUUGAGAAGGUAUGAUUAGUAAUCUCUUAAUAUCACUCGAAACUAAGAGAUUACUGAUGCUAUCUAAAAACUUGCGCCCUGACAAGCAUUUUUGGCGACGGUAUAGACUUUUGCAUUGCAGAUAUAUUGUCAUCUAUAAUUGGAGAAGAGCGAUCAGUAGAAAGCCUGAGGGAUUAAACUCGUUUGAUUUGUGCACUACCUCGAUCAAUUUUUUUUAUAGGGUAAUGAUCCUGGAGUUACGGUUACGUAACGUUUGAUAGGCUUGGUAGAGUCGAUUUAGAUCACACGCUAUGUAACUCCUCGCUUAUUAAUUUAUCAAAUUAGUUAAGCAAGCUGCAUUAAGCAACGCUCGAUAAAAGUGUGUUGUUCAACUGUUGGGACCACAUCUUGAGUUUGCAUCAACACAUUUUGACCUAAAACAAACACAAUGAUCCUUCAUGUAUCCUUUAAGGCUUCUGAAGAAAGUUUUAUGAAGGUUUUCUUCAAUGCCACAACUUUGAAGGUAGUGUUCCUGAUUGAGUUUACAAGAUAUCAGAAACUCUUGACCAACUUCAAAGAUGGCAACGAUAAGCUUGAAUACAGAAUCAACAAGCUGGAUACAAGCUUAAAAAUUAUCAAAAUUCACAAACUAGAGCAAGCCUCUGAUCUUCUCCAAGAAAUGUUAAAAGCAUGCUAAGGCUAUAAAACACAAUCAAUUAUAACCAUAUUUCUGUGGAAGUGAUGAUACUCAAUUUUUCUUUUAAUCACGUUUGUGGUUCCCAUCAGGUCAACAACAGUGGACCUAAUCGUAACCAUAAACAAGAAGGCGUGGGAUACAAUUUAAAAUUCAGAAAUUACCGCCUUCACUUAGAUUCCUUACUUUAACUGCAGUUGAUGUUGGUGGAAAUUUUCUAGACUUAUUGUACAUUAUUUCAACCCUCGAUGCCCGUAAGGCUGCUUUCUUGGACUUCUAUGAUUUUCUAUAUAGGUGAUAAUCCCGACCACGUUACCUAGUCGCAGCUCCUUAGCAAAGUAUCCAUCUGCAUUAUUUUUCUUUCAGAGAGACAACAGACGAAUUUACAUUGCUGGAUACACUUUGAUGUUUGCACUUGAUUCAGAUUUCUCAUAUUGUUUUUAGAUAAUUUCAUCGGCCAGAUUCGCUAGAAGUCUUACUUUCUACCCUAUGUCUCCUCUUCAAUUAGCUCUCAGAUGAUAUAGUCUUUUAUUAACUCCUCUUGCCCUCGCAGGCAUUCUCCUUCGGCUCUUUCUGGCGUAUAAUCAUCUUCUCGAUCAACCCUUCCAUAUAAAUUUGGCCAGGGAAAUUUCUAUUGGUUUUUUGUUCUUAUUUGAUACAGUGAGAGACUUCGAAGGUGUUCUCAGAGUCUAAUGCACACUUAAAGUUAAGUCCAAUAGCUAUUGGUUCUCUGUAAUGACACCAAAUAUUGAUCCCUUCUCAAAACUUGACACGCAUAAACACGUGCAACAACCGUCAGUAAUUCGUAACAGGGUAUCUGCACCAUCUUCAUGAGGCCCUCAACCUUGUCAAUUCAAACCCAUCAAAAUUUACAAUGAAGGAUCUUGUUUGAAUGAUCAAUGCCUAAUCGGUUAAAAACUGCACUUACAAAAACAUUGUACUUUGUGUGUGUUGUCCCGGUGACCUUAUCAAUAAUACUUCUUAACUUACAUACAUAUGAUAGUGGAUCCAUCUGAACACACCUUAUUCUUUCUAGACCAUCUAUGGCUUAAAUUGAAUAAACAGAUGACUGGCAAGUUGCAACAGAUGCCACAUCUGUUGGAAAAGAAAAUUGAUAUAUCCAUCUGUUGCAUUAGAUUGUCAAUAUGUUGUAAGUUAUCCGACAGGUGGAUUAAAUUUUGCAACAGAUUACACAUCUGUUAGAUUUAUUUUAAAUCAAUUUUCUUUUCUUUUCGAAAUACAAUAAAAAGAUAAAAUGUUGUAUUUAGAUCCAUUUUAUCCAUUUUUUAAAAAAUUUAUAUAUUCAAAAAAUCACCAAUUUUAUUUAAUUAAGGGAUAUAUGAACAGUCGUGGCUUCUUGUUUGACUAUUAGUCACCCCUUUCAAUUCAAUCAUUUAUAAAUAGGUCCCUCCGGCCUCCUGUCCUUACUCUCUCUCACUCGUUCAUUCUACUACACUUACAGUACCAAUAUGGCUGAUCUAGAUUCGUACAAGAAGAUUCAUAUAGAGUCCUUGCAGGAACUUCAAAGGCAGUUGGAUGACCUUCAGAGGGAUUUGACCGACUUUAGAGCAAGGUUGAGGAGGGCAGCCCUGCUACUGUCGGAUGAAAAUUGUCCGAUUGACAACAAUAAUAGUAAUAGUAAUAAUAAUAAUAAUAAUAGUAAUGAUAAUAAUAAUAGUAGUAAUAAUGAUUAGGUUAUGUUUUUUCUUUCUUUUAGUGUAUGUAUUGGUUUGGUUUGGUCGACUUUUAAUUUUUAAUUCUUAUUUAAUAUUUAAUUAUCAUUCUAUUUAUUCCAUAUUCUCAACAUUUCGAUGGUUGAGGGUAGGGAUUGAGCACUCGUGGCAACAGAGGGUGGGUGGUGAAAAGUCAUGAUUCUCCUAAAAAUGAUUCGUUGAUAAAUAAUAAGGAACUAAAUGAUAUACACAAUUUAUAACCGUAAAAGAAAGAUUAUUUAAUUUAAAAAGAAGUUGCAUCAUUGGAUUAUAUGAUGAUUGUUAAGGAAAAGGUAAAUAGUCAUGAUUGUGACUUUUUGUCUAAACACAUUUAACAAACAAAAACAAACAACGUUGCUGAUGCAUCAAAUUCCUCAUCUGUUGCGACUGAUGAAUGAAUUGUUAGAAGAAAUAAAAAAAACUCCUAAAACAGAUAGUCGAUUUGUUGCAACAGAUGGUAUAUUUGCUUCAACAGAUGGAUUAUCUGAUGCAACAGAUAUACAAUCUAUUGCCAUAACUCAAUAAAAAUAAUGCUUAUUAUUUUAUUAAAGAAACGGUUAUUGAAAACCAGGUGUCUUCGAUUUUUAAAUUAAGAAAAAGGUUAUUUAAAUUUAAGAACUAAUUAUUAUAAUAAAAAUAAGCUCAAAAGUCAUGACUUUUCACAAUAAUAAAAAACUCACCAGCUUGAUUUAAUUAAGUCAUUUUUUCACAAAAAACAAUAAGAAAAUAAAUGAUAAAACAUAAUUUAAACCGUAAAAAUCUCCUAAAAAAUAUUCUUGUUUUUAAAUCUGUUUUAUUAAUUUAUAUAAUGAAAAGGUCACCAAAUUUGGAUUAAUGAUAUGACUAUAAUUUUUUUUGAAAAUAAGAUAGAUUAUAUGUUGCAACAGAUUUAUUAUCUGAUGCAACAGGUUAUCUAUUGUGCAACGGAUGAUAUAUCUGUUGUCACAGAUGAGUUAUCUAAUGCAACAAAUAUAUAAUCUGUUGUCACAACUCAGUAUAAAAACGGUUCUUGGAAAGAACUAAUUAUUAAUAAUAAUAAGCUGAAAAGUCAUGAACUAUCUCAAUAUUGCAUAAUUUAAUUAAGUCAUAACUUUUUACAGUAAUCAUGAAUGUCAUUAAUAAAUGGAGGUGAACAGUUGCGCCUUUAAAUCUGUUUUAUUAAUUUAUAUAAUUAAAAAGUCAGAAAAUUUGGAUGUCGUGAUGAUAAUUUUUUUAAAAAAAAGAUAUAUAGAUUAUAUAUUACAACAGAUAUAUUAUCUGAUGCAACGGGUUAUCUAUUUGUUGCAACAGAUGAUAUAUUUAUUAUCACAGAUGAGUUAUCUGAUGCAACAGAUAUAUAAUCUGUUGUCACAACUCAGUAUAAAAGCGGUUCCUGGAAAGUCAUGACUUAUCGCAAUAUUGCUUAAUUUAAUUAAGUCAUAACUUUUUAUAAUAAUCAAGAAUGUUAUUAAUAAAUGGAGGUGAACAGUUAAUUAAAAAGUUAGAAAAUUUGGAUGUCAUGAUGAUAAUUUAAAAAAAAUAAGAUAUAUAGAUUAUAUGUUGUAACCGAUAUAUUAUCUGAUGCAACAGGUUAUCUAUUUGUUGCAAAUAUCUGUUGUCACAGAUGAGUUAUCUGAUGCAACAGAUAUAUAAUUUGUUGUCACAACUCAAUAUAAAAAUGAUUCCUGGAAAGAACUAGUUAUUAAUAAUAAUAACUGAAAAGUCAAGACUUAUCACAAUAUUGCUUAAUUUAAUCAAGUCAUAACUUUUCACAGUAAGCAAGAAAUGUCAUUCAUAAAUAGAGGUAAACAGUUGCGACUUUUUGCUUAACACAUUCAAGUUCAAUCCUCUAUAAAUUGGUCUCUCCUUACUCAAUCGUUCAUUCUAAUGCACUCUAUUGAUACCUUGCUCUUGUUACACCUUCAACUACUUUCUCUUCAAAGACUUGAUUAUUUUUUCCUAUCUCUGGUAAGUUUUCUAUAUGUCUCUCUUCCUGUCAUUUUGCUAUUCAAUUUGAAAUACUUGAACGAUCGAUUCUUAUUUUUUAUCUUCACUUUCGCCUAAAAACGGAGGAAUGUCUCAUUAAUUAUAACUAACCAUUCUAUUAAACAAUUUUGAAAUAAAUAUAGAAUGAGAGAUAUAUAUGAUAUAGAAUCAAAUAUAGAACUGUAAAAAAAUAAAUUCAAUUUUUGUGUAAAUAUACAUUUAUUACGUUUGAAUUCUUUUUUUUUCUUUACUUUUAUUUUUACGUGUGUGUUUUGUCAACUUAUGCAUUUUCUCUAGAUAUCGCUAUUCCAGUGUGGGAUGUCUCUAUUUUACGAGACGUCAUGCGGGAACUGCAGAAGGAGGUUCAUAACCUAUAGUGGGAGUUGGCCGCCGUCAGGGUAAGGAUGCUGCGGGAGAUCCUCAGGCUGAGGAGGGCGCUGCUACUGCCGGUUGAAGAUUGGCCGGCUGACCAUACAAAUAAUAAUGAUGAUAAUAAUAAUUAAGCAUUUUCUUUUCUUUUACCUAUGUAUUUUUAUAUAUUUUUUUUAAUAAAAAAUUUAUGUUCGAUACAUUUGACGUUUUAAUUCUUAUUUAAUUUUCAUAUUGUUUAUUUUUUUCUCAACAAAUGACAUGUCUACAAUUAAGGAAUAAUUUGAAUCCAGGAUCAAUAGCAAGAGAUUAACAUAUGAGUUAUUUGUUGGGUUUAUGACAGGAGCUGUAUUUUGUUGUUCGAAACAAAUUAUUCAUGUGUUGCAACAGAAUAAUUAUCUGUUUCAACAGAUUACUUGUCUGGUGCAGCAGAUUACUUGUCUGUUGCAACAAACAACUAAUCUGGUGUAACAGAUUAUUUAUCUGUUGCAACAGAUUAGUAAUUUGGUAUAACAGAUUAUUAAUCUGUUAAAAUAGACAACUAAUCUGGUGCAACAGAUUAUUAAUCUAUUGCAACAGAAUACCCAUAUAUACUAUUCUUAUUACAGGCACCUAGAACCAUAAUCAUGAAUCCAACAUGAGUCUACUGUUGCAACAGAAUAUUUAUCUGGUGCCACAGAUGAUGGAUAUGUUUAAACAGAUUACUCUUAUGUUGCAUUCAUGUUAGCGUGCUAGCUAUUGUUGCAAAAGCAGCACACUAGCAGUAACUCAGAUGACAAAUUCAACUAAAAAGCAUAAUUUGACUUACCAAAGUCUCCUCUCAAAGUAAAUGUCAAAGCUGAAAGUGAUGUACGGAAUAAAAUUUGACCUUAAAAAUUGGUCAAACAGAAGCAGUUGCGGUAACAACAACAACAACAAUGGUCAACAAGAAGAAUACGAAGAUGAUAAUAAAGUAUAAGAUGAUGAUAAUGAAUAAUAAAACAGCAACAACAAUGAGAAACAAAUAUCGUGAAGAGAGAGAAAAUAAUGACGGAUAGGGAGAGAGAAAAACGCGUCUUUUUCCCUUCGUUUCCCGUUAUAUUAACUAAUAUUUGAAUCAAAAUAUAAAUUUAAAAACUUAUGGGUUAUUUUAAAAUUUUCCAAACUUUCUUAAUCCAUAGUUAAGUAAUUGUCACCUUCACUCCAUUAUUAAGACUUAUAUCACCUACACCUCAUUUUAAAUUUUUUUUUAAUCACCAAUAGCCCAAAACCCCAUGUAAUAUGGUGGUGAAUUUCCUUUCUCAUGAACUCCUGUCAUGUUUUUUUACUCUUGUACCAUCGGUGUAAGUUUUGAAAUUAAAAAUUAAUGUUAGAUAUUAAUUCAUGAAAAAAAUAAAACCAAAAAAAAUAUAUAUUAUAAGCCUAAAUCAAACCAAAAGAAACAAACAAAUUGCAAAACAUCAAUAAUAAAACAAAUGGAAAAACGUGGUAGAGAUCUUAUAUAGUCACCGACGGCCACGGGUUUGAACUUUGGCUCAACUCUGGUAAUAUCAUAUUCUUUUUCUUAUAAGAUAUUUUAGAACUCAUUAAUUUAUAAAAUAUAACUUUUUUUUUAUCAAAUAUUUUAAAAUUCUUUAAUUUUUAAAAUAUAUUUUUAGAAAAGGUGUAUUCUUUUUUUAGAAUUCAAUGUACUACUUACCCUAUAUUUCAGGAUUCCUAAUUUUAGAAAAAGUCUUACUAUAUUUUUUAAAGUAAUGAUGCCAUAUGCUCUAGGAUUCAAUGUAAUUAUAAAUAAAUAAUAAUUUGAGAAAAAUAGUAAAAAGAUAAUUUUGCGUAAAGCAGAAACUUUUACUGAAGGAUAACAAGUUCAAACAAUAUUUUUAAGGUCCUUCACACUUUUAAUAUAUUAUAGAUAUAGAUAAUUACAUAUAUAUGGUCAUAUUUAAUGAAUUUCAAUUAUGACAUAUAUAAUAUUUACAUUAAUAGCCGUUUUCUCAUAUUUAAAAAUUUCAAAUAUGGAUGUUAUAUUAACAGAUCACUGCUUCCUAUUUUUUAAGUAACAAAUAUUAUCUAUCAAACAAAUUUAUUUUUUUAGGAAUUUAUUUAAUUUAUUUUCUUUAUUUUUCAUUUCUAAAAAAUAGAAAAUGAUGAGUUGUUAUUAAAUUUUAGGGUGCCGCUAAUUUAUUUCUUUAAUUUUCUUAUACAUGAAAGAUUUUAUUGUGCGUGAAUAAAUUAUUUCUAUGUAAAACAUACUUUGCAUAUUUAUGGUAUAUUAUAUCAUAUACCAUAAAUAUAUAAAUAUACUUAGUAUGUUUCUUUAUACUUUAUAUAUUUCUAUAUGUGUGUAUAUGGUAUAUAAACAUACUUUGUAUAUUUAUGUUAUAAAUAUACUUAGUAUGUUUCUUAAUACUUUGUAUUAUUAUAUAUGUAUGUAUGUAUAUAAUAAAUACCUGAUAUAAACUUUAUAUAUAACAUACUUUGUAUAUUUCUGUUAUAAAUAUAAUACUUUAUAUAUUUAUGAGUAUAAAUAUAAUACUUUGUGUAUAAAGAUACCAAGUACUAUGGUAUAUAAAGGUAGCAGUUGCAGUUUAAUAUAUAAAUUUGUUAAAUUAAAUAUAUUUUUUUAUUAAAAAUAUGUAUCACCGAUUUAUAUUUUUAGCAUAUAUAUGGUAUAAACUAUUUAUAUUUGAAUAGUAUAAUAAAGAUGUACACAAUAUAAUAUAUAUAAUCAAAUUAAAAAUGAAAAUAAUUUGUGGUAGUGGUAAACUAAUCUGCUACAUUUUUAUUAAUUUUAUAAAUAUAGAAAACGAUUAUCCAUUAUUAAUUACACGACUAUAAUUCCUUAAACGUCCGUGUCACAACAGAAAAAUUAUUAUUAUUAUUAUAAUUAUUAUAUUAUAGUAAUUAGAAUUAUUAGUAAUAAAAUAAUGUCUUAAAUAACAUAGAAAAAUAAUAAUGAGAGAGAAAAAGAGAUAUAUAUUAAUUAGGAUAGCAUUAAGUUUGAAAUUAUAACUAUAUUUUUUUUAUAUAUAUGUAAUAUUGAAAAAAUAAUGUUAUAAGAAGAAUUUUACGUAAAAAUUUAAAAAAAUUAGGAUUAUAUAUAAUAAUAAAAGUUUAAAUUGAAGUUAAAAAAUUGUGAAAAUAUCAAAAAUUUAUUUUCCUUUUUUUCAAAAAAAAAAUUUAAAAUUAUUUUCUAAAUUUUCAUGGCCAAAUAUCAUAAUUUUCAACUUCAAAAAAAAUUGUUAGAAUAAAGGAAAAUAUUUUCAUAUUCAAACGGCACUAAGUCAAACAACCCACGAAAACCAAUAAUCAGCUUGUGGUAUCUCAAAUAAGAAAAUCUAUCUAUUUAGAAUUUAGGAACAAAAGAGUGUUAAUAUACUUUUAUAUUGAUAUCUUAUUAAUGAGAGAAAAAUUCAAAGCUAUGUUCCCUUAACAGACAGUCAUAACAAACAGUCAAAACUUAGAAGAUAACAUAUCAUAACAAAAUGAUCAAACUCUUAGUAAUGAAUGCUAAAUUGAAACUAGAAAACAAUCGCAUACCACGGAUUUAACAUGUGAAAAAUAAUCUGAAGGUUCCAAGCAUGUAAAAACAUAGAUAAAAUAAUAAUAGUAAAUAUAUAUAUAUGAAAAAGAGACUCCACCCUAGUGAAGCAUUUUCCGGUCAGAUUUGGUGGUGACAAUGGGCGAAGGGGAGAGGUUGCUUCCACGGCAAUGCCGGAGCAACACCGGAGAAGCAAGAAAAAGGGCCAAAUCUGACCAUUUUCGACCUUCCAGUGGCAAAAAGGGAGAGGGAGAGGUGCUGCAAUGGAGGUGUUCGUCGGUGGACUUCCGGCAAAGUGACUGGAGGACGGCUGUGGCAGUCUUUCCCGGGUAACUGGCGGCGGCGAUUUUCACGGCUGCCAGCGGUUAGUUGAUGAGGAAGAGAGGGAAUAAAGAAGUCGUGGUGUGGUUAAGAUGAUGGCGGCGCUGGUGGAGCAAUGGCCUUCGCCGGCCAGUGUUUGGCGGCAGCCAUGGUGAGAGAGAGAGUGGGAUCCGAUGGGAAAUAUGCGUGUAUAUGUGUGUAUUGUGUGGUGUGAGUAUUUAAAGGAAAAA
rnacentral:lncRNA from 1 species